ACACUUCUGCGUGAGGAAACUGAGGACCAGAGAGGUCGUCCCUCCGGCCUGAGGCCACACAGCAAGUCAGAUGCAGUGCUGGGAUUGGAUCCAGUCUCUCGACUCCCACUGGAGGCAAGACCCAGCCCUGUGCUACCUGUCAUCACCUCACCAGAGCCACUGGCAUCACGCUGUGGAAGAACAGGGACACUAGUGUUUGCUAAGUAUCAACUGUGUGCCGGGCCCUGUGUAGCCUUUGCGUGUAUGGGUUCAGUUGCUUCCCCCAUCCCAUCUGGAAGAGAGGUAAUAUGCUCCCCAUUUUACAGGUGGAGAGACCGAGGCUAAGAAAGGUGAAGUUACUGAGAUCAAGUCCCAGCAGGAAUAAGGAUAAUGGGAUCUGUGGCUGACACGAGGGACAGGUUCCUGGAGUUGCUCCCUGGAGAGGCCCCCCCCCCCCUCGCCACCCUCACGGUGACCUGAUUUGGGGGCUGCCACUAACAGGAGGAUGUCUGCAGACAGGACACUGAGCGGAGUGAGGGACACUGUGGCCGAACAUUGGGAGAAUACCAAACAAAGAUGGCGGGGAGGCUCAGUUCCUCAUGAUGUCUCCGGGCUCGAGCCUGGCCAGUCCCACAGCAGAAGGAAAACGAGCUGUGGUGUAUCUCGCACCUGCCCGGGCUAGAAGUGACUUCCGCUGGUUCUGCUCACAGUGCAUUGGCUGGAAUUAGUCACACGGCCUCGCCAACCAGCAGGCGUCUGGCAGAAAGGCGGGGGAGCUAGAACAAUGUGCGGAGCGGCCCCCCUGAGGUCCCCAGUAUACCUCCCGCCUGGCAGAGAGCCUAGACGGGAACACAUUUUUGAUGAAAUAGUUUCCAGCCCAACCAGUGUCCCCAGAGUAGCGUUUGCCAAGGCACCGAUGACCUUUGUAUCGCUACCAGCGGUGGACGCUUUUCAGUCCUUGUCUGCCUUGACCUUGCGUGUAACACCUCGCUUUCCUUCUUAAUACAGGUCUCUUGGCUUCAGGACGCAAGGCUGGUCUGAUUUUCUUCCUACCCCUUGGGUCACCGCUUCCCUCCUCCUUUGCAACUUUCUCCACCUUCCUCCACCUGGCCUUCCAUUUUGGAGUUUCCCAGGGCACGGACCUCCCUUCUCCUCACUCAACUUUGUUCUCAGCAGCCCUCGUCCACCCCCUGGGCUUGGAUGUCUCCUCAGCUUUCACCGGAUUCAUCUUCCUUCUGAGCUCCAUGAGCAUAUGUCCCACUGUCUACUUGGCGUCUUCUUGAGAAUCUUCAACGUUACCUGAAAUUUAAUAUGCUGAAGACCAAAGGGUCUUCCUCCCUCCACCCCUGGUCCGUAAGGCUGGCCCUCCCCCCAGGGCUCCUCAGCUCACUAGAUGGCAAUGCCAUCCACCUGCUUACACAAGCCAGUGUCAUCCUUGGCCCUUCCCUCUCUCUCCCACACCAUUUCAUGUUAACCUCCUCACUCAGCCCUGCCAAUUUUACUUCUUCGGCAUCUCUCCACUCCAUCCACCCUCUCUCUCCUGCUCCAUCACUAGUCCGUGUGGCCUCGGUGUCCCAUCUGGUUGCUGUGAGGUCCCUCGGUGACCUCCGUGCCCAUCGAACCCUACCCAGAUGUUCUUCAUGCUGCAAUCUGAGGGAUCCUUUCAAGAUGCAAAUUUGAUCACACAUUCCCUCUCCCCAUUCAAUAGCCCCGCCAUUGCUCUUGGGAAAAGGAUGAAAUCCUGGUCUCUGCUUGCUUCUCAUCCCAUCUCACUCCUGGCACAGCGCCUAGCACAUAUUAGGCACUUGGUAAGUAUUUUUUUGAUUGGUAUAAGAGAAAUUGGCUAUCGGUUCUGUGGUGUUAGUUAGAUCAUUUUACUAUUUUUACUAUUAAGAGGUAGCCCGGUAUGGCUUUCCCUGAAUACUGAGGCUGGUUCAGGAUCCCUUGGAAGGACCAACGGGCACUCAUAGGGGGCCACUGUUGAAAUCCGGGCAGUUGGUGCCGGGGCCUGGGGGGUGAUGGGGUGGUCCUCUCAUGUAGCCUCUGUCCAGGAUCGGAACCCAGGCACUCUGAGCUGAGAACCAAGCUCCUCAUGUUUACACUGUUCUGCCCACUCCCUGCACUUGGCACAGAGGAGGUGACAACAUGGUGGCCUGUGGAUGGAACCCAGCAGAAGCAGGGGGGAAGGCUGCUAGCUGGGGGGUGAGUCAGCCCUCUCCCUGUGGUCUGAGGCUGUCAUCAGGAACCGCGACAGUCAUUUCUUUCUUUGUGGCUUUGAGGUCUGGGGGCAGAGGGUGUGGGCUCCUGAGACCCCUCGGGCUGCCAUGGAGAGCUCAGUGUGUUGGGACCCGGGGAUACAGGAGGGACUCUGGGGAGUCCCUGGGGGAGCUGUCCCCCCCUCCCCACUGGCUGUGGACCUCUAGGACAGUGAGGGCUCCAAGUGUGCAGAGGGUCGAAUUUCAUCUUAACUCCCAAGGAGGCUCCUGCCCCCGUUCUCCAGCUUACAGAUUAGGAAACUGAAGCAUGGAGAAUUUAAGGGACCGGCCCAAGUCCCCGUGGAUGUUCAGUGACACCGCCGGACUUGGUGCCAGGCCUGCCUGGUCCCCGAAGCCGCCCUCUCUCCCCUGUCCCAUGCCAGCCCCUCUGGGGGCAGCUCUGCCUCUCCUCUGAGGGGCCAAGAGGAAGAGAAAGUGAGGGGCGGAGCGAGGAGCUGGGUCCUGGCAGGAAGGGGAUUUGCCCCAAGGGUUCAGAUGAGGGAACUGAGGACAGAGGUUUCUCACGGAGGGGUGAGGGGUUGUGCAGGACGGAGGGACCCGUGAGACGGGCUGAGGCACCC